GCCAGUUCUGACGCUGAUAUUUUGUUAAACGAUUAUGUUGGGAUGUUUUGCUAAACUGUGAUAUCAAAGCAGGAGUACUUAUCUUAGGCAAGGUUUGAGUGGCUUGAACUUAACAGGAGAAUGGACCGCUGGAUAAAGUAACCUGCGCUUUACAGAUAAAUAAUUUGGAAGAUCGAUCAUUCAAAAUCACUGUAGUAGGUAGGGAUGGCUGGAACUUGAAGGCCGAAGUGACUGGGUUAGAAUGACAGAUUUUCCUGGACCAGGACUUACCUUCUUGAUGGCCAUGUGGUAUAAUUACAAUGUGGUCAUUUGAUGAAAACUAAUUGGUAAAGUAUGAACUUCAGGUAUGAGGUGAAGUAUUGUUCGACCUCUGGAUUGUUCCUCAGCUCAAGCCACUCUGCUGCCGUAUGGAUUCCCGUUUGGACCAAGCCAUACAUUCAGGAAUCAAACCACUUUGUACUUCAGCAAUAGCAUCCAUUAUUUUCUAGGUUCAAGGGGAUAUUUUCUACCUAAAGCAAUACAAGUGGCGGUGAAGUUUUAAAAGUUGAUGUAUCUUGAAACAAACUACUGUCAAAACUGCUCUCACUUAAUGAAAUCAGUUUGUUAGUAUAUACAAACCUCAAUCUGACGUUUUGACAACUAUUGCAAAAACUUGAGUCUUCUAUUCUUCAGCUACAUUCAUUUGCCGUAAUAUAAGCGU